CACGUAGUUAGCCGGGGCUUCCUCCAAGGGUACCGCCAUUUUCUUCUUCCCCUAGGACAGAGCUUUACAAUCCGAAGACCUUCUUCGCUCACGCGGCGUUGCUGCAUCAGGCUUUCGCCCAUUGUGCAAUAUUCCCCACUGCUGCCUCCCGUAGGAGUUUGGACCGUGUCUCAGUUCCAAUGUGGCCGUUCACCCUCUCAGGUCGGCUACUGAUCGUCGCCUUGGUAGGCCGUUACCCCACCAACUAGCUAAUCAGACGCAGGCCCAUCCUUUGCCGAUAAAUCUUUGACCUCCUUGCCAUGUGACAAAAAAGUGUUAAUGAGGUUUUAAUCAUCGUUUCCAAUGGCUAUCCCUCUGCAAAGGGCAGGUUGCCUACGCGUUACUCACCCGUCCGCCGCUCUCCAUCCCCUCUUUCGACCCGAAGUUUCAAUUAGGAAUUUCCCGCUCGACUUGCAUGUGUUAGGCACGCCGCCAGCGUUCAUCCUGAGCCAGGAUCAAACUCU
rnacentral:rRNA from 1 species